GCGUACCUUUUGUAUAAUGGGUCAGCGACUUAUAUUCUGUAGCAAGGUUAACCGAAUAGGGGAGCCGGAGGGAAACCGAGUCUUAACCGGGCGUUAAGUUGCAGGGUAUAGACCCGAAACCCGGUGAUCUAGCCAUGGGCAGGUUGAAGGUUGGGUAACACUAACUGGAGGACCGAACCGACUAAUGUUGAAAAAUUAGCGGAUGACCUGUGGCUGGGGGUGAAAGGCCAAUCAAACCGGGAGAUAGCUGGUUCUCCCCGAAAGCUAUUUAGGUAGCGCCUCGUGAAUUCAUCUCCGGGGGUAGAGCACUGUUUCGGCUAGGGGGCCAUCCCGGCUUACCAACCCGAUGCAAACUGCGAAUACCGGAGAAUGUUAUCACGGGAGACACACGGCGGGUGCUAACGUCCGUCGUGAAGAGGGAAACAACCCAGACCGCCAGCUAAGGUCCCAAAGUCAUGGUUAAGUGGGAAACGAUGUGGGAAGGCCCAGACAGCCAGGAUGUUGGCUUAGAAGCAGCCAUCAUUUAAAGAAAGCGUAAUAGCUCACUGGUCGAGUCGGCCUGCGCGGAAGAUGUAACGGGGCUAAACCAUGCACCGAAGCUGCGGCAGCGACACUGUGUGUUGUUGGGUAGGGGAGCGUUCUGUAAGCCUGUGAAGGUGUGUCGUGAGGCAUGCUGGAGGUAUCAGAAGUGCGAAUGCUGACAUAAGUAACGAUAAAGCGGGUGAAAAGCCCGCUCGCCGGAAGACCAAGGGUUCCUGUCCAACGUUAAUCGGGGCAGGGUGAGUCGACCCCUAAGGCGAGGCCGAAAGGCGUAGUCGAUGGGAAACGGGUUAAUAUUCCCGUACUUGGUGUUACUGCGAAGGGGGGACGGAGAAGGCUAUGUUGGCCGGG
rnacentral:rRNA from 1 species